CCUACGGGAGGCAGCAGUGAGGAAUAUUGGUCAAUGGACGAGAGUCUGAACCAGCCAAGUAGCGUGAAGGAUGACUGCCCUAUGGGUUGUAAACUUCUUUUAUAGGGGAAUAAAACAGGGUAUGCAUACCCUCUUGUAUGUACCAUAUGAAUAAGGAUAGGCUAACGCCGUGCCAGCAGCCGCGGUAAUACGGAGGAUCCGAGCGUUAUCCGGAUUUAUUGGGUUUACAGGGCGCGUAGGUGGAUUGUUAAGUCAGUUGUUAAAGUUUGCGGCUCAACCGUAAAAUUGCAGUUGAAACUGGCAGUCUUGUGUCCCGUCGAGGUGGGCGUACUUCGUGGUGUGGCGGUGAACUGCUUGCUAUCACG
rnacentral:rRNA from 1 species